UCUGGUUUAGUUUAAAUAAAAAUGUUGUUUUGUGGUAGCAAAGAUAAUUAGUAUUAACUGGUU
rnacentral:tRNA from 2 species